CCAAAAUUGGGGCAUUCCCCACAAAAAGAUUCUCCAUUGUUGGGGGCUCGGAGUCGACUUCUGGAGCUAGCUGGAUUUCUCCAAUCCAGUAUUGUUAAGAUGGAUCAGAUCACUGUCAAAACCCUAGAAUUUGUUUCCUAAUUGCUAUGGGCGUAUUGAAGAGCGGCUUCUCGUUCCUAGCCGGGAUCGCCGCCGGGAUAUACGUAGCUCAAAACUACAACGUUCCCAACGUGAAGAAGCUCGCAAGCACCGCCAUUUUCAUGGCCAAUCUCUUCGAGGAAAAGUAUCGCAAGCCCAAGAAGCCUAGCGAUGAUGAUUGACGACGGUAGUCGGCUUUUGGUUAUAAAGGCGACGCCUUUGCCGAUUUCUUUUUCGGAGACUCAACAGUUAAAGUGGCAGUCAAUCUGAUGGUUGGAGCCAGAUUGAACUAAGAAAGUUGGAUUUGGAAGAGGGAUAUCUACUUAUAUUAGGAGCUUGUGGGAGAUUGCAGGUCAUAGAAUGCAUACCGUGAUGCUUGAAUCGCUGCUAGAUGACUGAACUUGUCGAGGAUGAAAAAAAGACCUGGAAAGUGGGUCAGGAUGGCAAAAGUGCAAUCCCUUUUAGAUUCAUAUUUAUUCUGGACUAUGGCUGGAGAUUCAAAUCAAGCCCUUUCUAGCUGAUUAGCCGGGAUACAUGUUUGUAUUGCACUAUUGGAUUAUCUUGUCCUUCGAGGCACGAUUCAUGUUAGAUGUGCUACUGUGCUAAUGGUAAGUGAUAUUCAAAUAUCAA